rnacentral:rRNA from 1 species
CCUGCGGAAGGAUCAUUACCAAAACAUAGCUGUCGGGUCGAAAGGCCCUGACGCUUCAACCCUUUGUGAACCAAAAAAACCUUUCGCUUCGGCAGCAGUCGGGUCAGGAUUCUGACCUGCGUGAGCCUGCCGCUGGCACCCAUUUUCCAAACUUGCUCAGAAAACUAUGUCUGAUAACCGAAUUUUCGAAUGAAAAUCAAAACUUUCAACAACGGAUCUCUUGGUUCCCGCAUCGAUGAAGAACGCAGCGAAACGCGAUAGUUAAUGUGAAUUGCAGAAUUCAGUGAAUCAUCGAGUCUUUGAACGCACAUUGCGCCCAUCGGUAUUCCGUUGGGCAUGUCUGUUUGAGCGUCAUCACAACCCUCGACACCUGUCGGUUAUGAGCCCGCCUGGCGUGAAACCCAGGCCGGCUUCAAAUUUGUGAGCUCUGCUGGCUGCUGCGCCUGACCGAGACAUAGUAAGACCUACUUGUCAAAGGUGAGGCGGGGGCGGUUCGGCCUGAACAAAACCUACCCAUUCUAAGGUUUGACCUCAGA